AGCAGUAGCCACGGGAAUACGUAGGGUGCAAGCGUUAAUCGGAAUUACUGGGCGUAAAGCAUGCGCAGGCGGUUAUAUAAGUCAGAUGUGAAAUCCCCGGGCUCAACCUGGGAACUGCAUUUGAGACUGUAUGGCUAGAGUGUGUCAGAGGGGGGUAGAAUUCCACGUGUAGCAGUGAAAUGCGUAGAUAUGUGGAGGAAUACCGAUGGCGAAGGCAGCCCCCUGGGAUAACACUGACGCUCAUGCACGAAAGCGUGGGGAGCAAACAGGAUUAGAUACCCCGGUAGUCCCUGUCUCUUAUAC
rnacentral:rRNA from 1 species